rnacentral:piRNA from 1 species
UGCUUGGCGUGGUUCCAGAACCCAGGGUGUA